GUACGGAGGGUGCGAGCGUUAAUCGGAAUUACUGGGCGUAAAGCGUGCGUAGGCGGUUUGCUAAGUCAGAUGUGAAAGCCCCGGGCUUAACCUGGGAACUGCAUUUGAUACUGGCAGACUAGAGUAUGAUAGAGGGGGGUAGAAUUCCUGGUGUAGCGGUGAAAUGCGUAGAUAUCAGGAGGAAUACCAGUGGCGAAGGCGGCCCCCUGGAUCAAUACUGACGCUGAGGUACGAAAGCGUGGGGAGCGAACAGGAUUAGAUACCCUAGUAGUCC
rnacentral:rRNA from 1 species